rnacentral:rRNA from 1 species
UGUUGUUUUUCCGAAAAUCAAUUACGAAUGUUUUGUUUUUAAGAAGUUAUGACUUCAUCGGCUUGCUUCUUUCUUUACGAAACUUUCUUAAUGCACUUUUCGGUUAACAAGUCAACAUCAAUUUCUUUUGUUGUAAAAGGGUAUGAGGAAGGUGGCUUUCUUUUCGGAGAAAGUGUUUAUAGCCUUGUGCCUCUGCAAUCGGAGAGAUUGAGGUCUGCAGCGUAGAUCCUUCGGGGUUAGAUACGUUUGUGCUAAGUUAUAGCUUUUCAUAGACAACUUGUUGACUAUGUUUAGUCUUGUAGCUUACUCGCUGACGCUAUUUUACCUAC